UGGGGAAUAUUGCACAAUGGGCGCAAGCCUGAUGCAGCCAUGCCGCGUGUAUGAAGAAGGCCUUCGGGUUGUAAAGUACUUUCAGCGGGGAGGAAGGGAGUAAAGUUAAUACCUUUGCUCAUUGACGUUACCCGCAGAAGAAGCACCGGCUAACUCCGUGCCAGCAGCCGCGGUAAUACGGAGGGUGCAAGCGUUAAUCGGAAUUACUGGGCGUAAAGCGCACGCAGGCGGUUUGUUAAGUCAGAUGUGAAAUCCCCGGGCUCAACCUGGGAACUGCAUCUGAUACUGGCAAGCGUGAGUCUCGUAGAGGGGGGUAGAAGUCCAGGUGUAGCGGUGAACUGCGUAGAGAUCUGGAGGAAUACCGGUGGCGAAGGCGGCCCCCUGGACGAAGACUGACGCUCAGGUGCGAAAGCGUGGGGAGCAAACAGG
rnacentral:rRNA from 1 species